rnacentral:rRNA from 1 species
UGCUACAGGCUUAACACAUGCAAGUCGAGGGGCAGCAUGGUCUUAGCUUGCUAAGGCCGAUGGCGACCGGCGCACGGGUGAGUAACACGUAUCCAACCUGCCGUCUACUCUUGGACAGCCUUCUGAAAGGAAGAUUAAUACAAGAUGGCAUCAUGAGUCCGCAUGUUCACAUGAUUAAAGGUAUUCCGGUAGACGAUGGGGAUGCGUUCCAUUAGAUAGUAGGCGGGGUAACGGCCCACCUAGUCUUCGAUGGAUAGGGGUUCUGAGAGGAAGGUCCCCCACAUUGGAACUGAGACACGGUCCAAACUCCUACGGGAGGCAGCAGUGAGGAAUAUUGGUCAAUGGGCGAGAGCCUGAACCAGCCAAGUAGCGUGAAGGAUGACUGCCCUAUGGGUUGUAAACUUCUUUUAUAAAGGAAUAAAGUCGGGUAUGGAUACCCGUUUGCAUGUACUUUAUGAAUAAGGAUCGGCUAACUCCGUGCCAGCAGCCGCGGUAAUACGGAGGAUCCGAGCGUUAUCCGGAUUUAUUGGGUUUAAAGGGAGCGUAGAUGGAUGUUUAAGUCAGUUGUGAAAGUUUGCGGCUCAACCGUAAAAUUGCAGUUGAUACUGGAUAUCUUGAGUGCAGUUGAGGCAGGCGGAAUUCGUGGUGUAGCGGUGAAAUGCUUAGAUAUCACGAAGAACUCCGAUUGCGAAGGCAGCCUGCUAAGCUGCAACUGACAUUGAGGCUCGAAAGUGUGGGUAUCAAACAGGAUUAGAUACCCUGGUAGUCCACACGGUAAACGAUGAAUACUCGCUGUUUGCGAUAUACUGCAAGCGGCCAAGCGAAAGCGUUAAGUAUUCCACCUGGGGAGUACGCCGGCAACGGUGAAACUCAAAGGAAUUGACGGGGGCCCGCACAAGCGGAGGAACAUGUGGUUUAAUUCGAUGAUACGCGAGGAACCUUACCCGGGCUUAAAUUGCAGAUGAAUUACGGUGAAAGCCGUAAGCCGCAAGGCAUCUGUGAAGGUGCUGCAUGGUUGUCGUCAGCUCGUGCCGUGAGGUGUCGGCUUAAGUGCCAUAACGAGCGCAACCCUUGUUGUCAGUUACUAACAGGUUCCGCUGAGGACUCUGACAAGACUGCCAUCGUAAGAUGUGAGGAAGGUGGGGAUGACGUCAAAUCAGCACGGCCCUUACGUCCGGGGCUACACACGUGUUACAAUGGGGGGUACAGAGGGCCGCUACCACGCGAGUGGAUGCCAAUCCCCAAAACCUCUCUCAGUUCGGACUGGAGUCUGCAACCCGACUCCACGAAGCUGGAUUCGCUAGUAAUCGCGCAUCAGCCACGGCGCGGCGAAUACGUUCCCGGGCCUUGUACACACCGCCCGUCAAGCCGUGGGAGCCGGGGGUACCUGAAGUGCGUAACCGCGAGGAGCGCCCUAGGGUAAAACUGGUGACUGGG